ACAACAACAUUCGGACCGUCGGUCUAACGAGCAAUAUCACCCGCUCGGUGGAAGAUCUUCCUUUCGUCGUCUAAG
rnacentral:pre_miRNA from 1 species